rnacentral:rRNA from 1 species
UUUAAUUGAAGAGUUUGAUCAUGGCUCAGAUUGAACGCUGGCGGCAGGCUUAACACAUGCAAGUCGAGCGGUAACAUUUCUAGCUUGCUAGAAGAUGACGAGCGG